AUUGAACGCUGGCGGCAGGCCUAACACAUGCAAGUCGAACGAGUGGCGGACGGGUGAGUAAUGUCUGGGCAACUGCCUGCUGGAGGGGGAUAACUACUGGAACAGGUCGCUAAUACCGCAUACCAUCGGAUGUGCCCAGAUGGGAUUAGCUAGUAGGUGGGGUAAAGGCUCACCUAGGCGACGAUCCCUAGCUGGUCUGAGAGGAUGACCAGAAACACUGGAACUGAGACACGGUACAGACUGCGACGGGAGGCAGCAGUGGGGAAUAUUGCACAAUGGGGGAAAGCCUGAUGAAGCCAUACCGCGUGUAUAAAGAAGGCCGUCGGGUUGUAAAGUACUUUCAGCGGGGAGGCGUUACCCGAAGAAGAAGCACCGGCUAACUCCGUGCCAGCAGCCGCGGUAAUUC
rnacentral:rRNA from 1 species